AUGGCGACCGGCGCACGGGUGAGUAACGCGUAUCCAACCUGCCCUUUACUAUGGGACAGCCCGUCGAAAGGCGGAUUAAUACCGUAUGUUGUCAUGUUGAUGCAUAUUUUCAUGACCAAAGGCUUCGGCCGGUAAAGGAUGGGGAUGCGUCUGAUUAGCUUGCCGGCGGGGUAACGGCCCACCGGGGCGACGAUCAGUAGGGGUUCUGAAAGGAAGGUCCCCCACAUUGGAACUGAGACACGGUCCAAACUCCUACGGGAGGCAGCAG
rnacentral:rRNA from 1 species